GGUUGUGGCUCAGUGGUAGAGGGCCUACCUAACACACAUGAGGCACUGGGUUCAAUCCUCAGAACUG
rnacentral:tRNA from 1 species